ensembl:snRNA U4 U4 spliceosomal RNA
AGGUUUGCGCAAUGGCAAUAUCGUAGCCAAUGAGGUUUAUCCGAGGUGUGAUUAUUGGUAAAAGAGUAGAAUUAGUUCUUCUUUGGAUAAACGAUAAAAUUGUCUGCAAAACAUUUCAGUUAGAGCUUUAAUAUU